GACGAACGCUGGCGGCGUGCUUAACACAUGCAAGUCGAGCGGUAAGGCCCUUUCGGGGGUACACGAGCGGCGAACGGGUGAGUAACACGUGGGUGACCUGCCCUUAGCUCUGGGAUAAGCCUGGGAAACUGGGUCUAAUACCGGAUAUGACUCCAUGACGCAUGUUGUGGGGUGGAAAGCCUUGUGCGGCUAGGGAUGGGCCUGCGGCCUAUCAGCUUGUUGGUGGGGUGANGGCCUACCAAGGCGACGACGGGUAGCCGGCCUGAGAGGGGGACCGGCCACACUGGGACUGAGACACGGCCCAGACUCCUACGGGAGGCAGCAGUGGGGAAUCUUGCGCAAUGGGCGAAAGCCUGACGCAGCGACGCCGCGUGGGGA
rnacentral:rRNA from 1 species